rnacentral:rRNA from 1 species
GUUGAACGCUGGCGGCAGGCCUAACACAUGCAAGUCGAGCGGUAACACAGGGAGCUUGCUCCUGGGUGACGAGCGGCGGACGGGUGAGUAAUGUCUGGGAAACUGCCUGAUGGAGGGGGAUAACUACUGGAAACGGUAGCUAAUACCGCAUAACGUCGCAAGACCAAAGAGGGGGACCUUCGGGCCUCUUGCCAUCAGAUGUGCCCAGAUGGGAUUAGCUAGUAGGUGGGGUAACGGCUCACCUAGGCGACGAUCCCUAGCUGGUCUGAGAGGAUGAACAGCCACACUGGAACUGAGACACGGUCCAGACUCCUACGGGAGGCAGCAGUGGGGAAUAUUGCACAAUGGGCGCAAGCCUGAUGCAGCCAUGCCGCGUGUAUGAAGAAGGCCUUCGGGUUGUAAAGUACUUUCAGCGGGGAGGAAGGCGAUAAGGUUAAUAACCUUGUCGAUUGACGUUACCCGCAGAAGAAGCACCGGCUAACUCUGUGCCAGCCGCCGCGGUAA